UUUAAUAUGGCAGAUUAAAGUGCAAUGGAYUUAAACUCCAUGUAUAAAGAAAUCCAYCAAUCUUUUAUUAAAU
rnacentral:tRNA from 1 species